rnacentral:rRNA from 1 species
UACAACCAAAAACGUCAGGUCGAGGUGUAGCGAAUGGAGUGGAAAGAAAUGGGCUACAUUUUCUAUUUAAUAGAAUAACACGAAUGACACCCUGAAACACAUGUCUGAAGGUGGAUUUAGUAGUAAAAAGCAAAUAGUGUGUCCUUUUGAAUUAGGCUCUGAGACGCGCACACACCGCCCGUCACUCUCCCCCACUAAUAUAAUAACCCAUAUAUUAAUAAUACAUCUAACAACACGGGGAGGCAAGUCGUAACAUGG